CUUAGCGACCUUUUCCCGAAUCUUCUCUCCCUAUUUCGACCUUAACCUUCUUAUUUUUUGCUUAAUCGGCUUGAUGUGUGGAUAAGUCAUGAUCUGGUGCUCCACUAUUUUUUUGUCUAAUUCUCACAUGUCAUCGUAAGAUAAGUAAAAACUACUUUUUUUUUUUAUUAAUUUUUUCAAUUCUCUUCUCUCCUCAAAAGUUAUACCAUGAGCUAUCAGAAUUUUCAUGAGAUUUUCAACUGUGCCUAGAUUAAAUAAAUCAAUUUUGUAAUACCUAUAAAUUUUAAAAAUAAUAAUAAUAAUAAUAAAUAAUAAUAAAAUAAAAUAUAAUAAUAAUAAUAAUAAUAAUAAUAAUAUUUUCCUUUCCUUUUUCUUUCCUUUCUUCCCCCUCCCUCUCCUUUCCUUUUUUCCUUCCUCUCAUUCCUCUUCUCUCCUCGCCGACUGCUGCUUCCCCUCCCUGCCUAUGCUGAGCUGUCGCCACCACCACCAGCGCCUCUCCCUUCCUUUCGCUGCCGUGUCGUGCUUCCUCUCCUUUUUCCCCUCUGCAGCGACGUCUUCAAAGGAAGAAGAGCUGUUGUCACCAUCUACCGCAGUCCUUUCGACCAUCCGACGCUGGAAUCGAGCUCCCCACCAUCGAAAACCUCUAGGUCGUGCUCCCCCGCAGUGAAAUCCUCGCCGGUAGACUCACUCAAGCCUCACCGGAGCAGCACCUUUUCAGCCACAAUCUGGUGCCUUCCGACGAGUUUCCGACCGAAACUCUUGUGUUUUCGGACUCCCCACAACUCGAGCUUCGUGUAGGUGCUUCCGGAUUCGAAUUCUGACACUGUUGGCAGGACCGGCUUUCGGACCCCAGUACUUUUCGGACGCGCGAAAUUUUAAAAUUUCAGCUCGGAAAAAUAAUACAGUUUUGGUGGUCCGACUCCCGUUAAUUAAUAGCAGAAUAUUUGAAGUGUUUCUAGCAGCUUUUGGACCCGUUGUACAUGAGAUAAUUCGUCCAUCCCGCCAGCUUCACCCGAAGCUAGGAGCGAAUUGCGGAGCGCGACAAAACUGUGACAAUUAGAGUUCUUCGUUGUCCUGCAUUUUGAUAGCCUGACUUCUUUCUUCAUCGGGAUUAUUGUAAAUAAUCUAUACUUUCAUAUUUUUAGUUAUUUUAUAUUAUAGACCUUCAGCAGUAGUAUUUUUUAUUUGUUAUGAUUAUUCUGGUCCAUAAUGGGCGUGAAAUGUUAUCAAAGACCAGUUAGAUUUGUGUAUGGCAUGUCAGACAUGAUUAAUAUUAUAUUUUUCAUAUGCA